rnacentral:hammerhead_ribozyme from 1 species
AUCCUGCUGACGAGUCCCAAAUAGGACGAAACGUGCGUCCUUGAU